AUUGAACGCUGGCGGCAGGCUUAACACAUGCAAGUCGAGCGGAGAUGGGGUGCUUGCACCUUAUCUUAGCGGCGGACGGGUGAGUAAUGCUUAGGGAUCUGCCAUUUAGUGGGGGACAACAUUCCGAAAGGAAUGCUAAUACCGCAUACGUCCUACGGGAGAAAGCAGGGGAUCUUCGGACCUUGCGCUAAAUGAUGAGCCUAAGUCGGAUUAGCUAGUUGGUGGGGUAAAGGCCUACCAAGGGGACGAUCUGUAGCGGGUCUGGGAGGAUGCUCCGCCACACUGGGACUGGGACACGGCCCAGACUCCUACGGGAGGCAGCAGUGGGGAAUAUUGGACAAUGGGCGGAAGCCUGAUCCAGCCAUGCCGCGUGUGUGAAGAAGGCCUUUUGGUUGUAAAGCACUUUAAGCGAGGAGGAGGCUACUGGUACUAAUACUACUGGAUAGUGGACAUUACUCGCAGAAUAAGCACCGGCUAACUCUGUGCCAGCCGCCGCGGUAAUAC
rnacentral:rRNA from 1 species